GGACCGUUAGUGCUAAUAUACUAUUGGUCAGGGUCAGACUUUAAUUGAUUCUCAACUCUUAUUUAACCUCUGGGUUAAGUUUCUUGUUUACCAUUGAUCCAACCCUAGCUUGGUUAGCUCAUAGCCUGGUCCAAGCGUGACCACCAGCACUGCAAGAUUCUUUGAAAGCGCUGUCUGCCAUUUUCUCGCGCACCAUCAAAUCCUUGGAUGCCAUUUUCUAUUCUCCUGCUAGCCAUGAGUUAUGACCAAGC
rnacentral:lncRNA from 1 species